UACGUAGGGGGCAAGCGUUGUCCGGAUUUAUUGGGCGUAAAGCGCUCGCAGGUGGUUUGUCGCGUCGUGCGUGAAAGACCCCGGCUCAACUGGGGAGGGUCGUGCGAUACGGGCGAACUGGAGGCCAGUAGGGGGAUGCGGAAUUCCGGGUGUAGUGGUGGAAUGCGUAGAGAUCCGGAGGAACACCGACGGCGUAGGCAGCGCCCUGGCCGUUUCCUGACGCUGAGGCACGAAAGCUGGGGGAGCAAACAGG
rnacentral:rRNA from 1 species